GACAGCAGUAGCCACGGGAAUACGAAGGGUGCAAGCGUUACUCGGAAUUACUGGGCGUAAAGCGUGCGUAGGUGGUGGUUUAAGUCCGUUGUGAAAGCCCUGGGCUCAACCUGGGAAUUGCAGUGGAUACUGGGUCACUAGAGUGUGGUAGAGGAUAGUGGAAUUUCCGGUGUAGCAGUGAAAUGCGUAGAGAUCGGAAGGAACAUCUGUGGCGAAGGCGACUAUCUGGGCCAACACUGACACUGAGGCACGAAAGCGUGGGGAGCAAACAGGAUUAGAUACCCCUGUAGUCCCUGUCUCUUAUAC
rnacentral:rRNA from 1 species